rnacentral:sRNA from 1 species
UGAAUUGAGAAAAAACGCUAGGGCAAUC